rnacentral:lncRNA from 10 species
GAACAGUCACUGAAGGCAUUUAAGUAAGUUGCAUGAGAAAAUAACAGAUUCCCAUGGCUCUUAAUCUUGCUACAUUGCCAUGAUGGUUAAUAUUGAGUAUCAACUUGAUGGAAUUGAAGGAUGCAAAGUGUUGUUCCUGGGUGUGCCUGUGAGAUUGUUGCCAAAGGAGAUUAACAUUUGACUCGGUGGAUUGGGAAAGGCAGACCCACCCUCAAUCUUGAGUGGGCAUAAUCUAAUUGGCUGCUAGUGUGGCCAGAAUAAAAGUAGCAGAAGAAUGUGAAAAGACUAGACUGGCUUAGUCUUCCAGCCUACAUCUUUCUCCCGUGCUGGGUGCUUCCUGCCCUCAAACAUUGGACUCCAAGUUCUUCAGUUUGGGGAAUUGAACUAGCUUCCUUCCUCCUCAGCUUGCAGACAGCCUACUGUGGGACCUCACCUCAUGAUCAUGUGCUCAUGGCCUGCUGAAGACUGAUGUUGGAACAGAAGAGCUGAGAAACACACCUGCCCCUACCUCAAGCCCUGCACCAAGUAAAAGUCAGCAGCAAUAUACCCUGGGGAAAGGGCUAGAGUGUGGCUGGAGAUCUUGCUGAAAGCUGGAGGUGGAGGAGGAAUACAAAGAUAAGAUUUUAGGACUCCAGGCUUCACAACUCCUUCUACAUCUGUUGUUCAAGGUUCAGACUCAAUAUGCAACUAAUUUAUGAAGCCCGUUUAGACCACAACAACCCUGAUGCAAGAUGUUCUCCACUAUGUUAAGAUGCAGCAUGAAGCCCUUACCAGAAGCUAAGAGUAUUCCGUUAGAGCAACACAAAACAGACUAAGACAACUUGUUCAUUACUGAUGUACAGAUUUCACUGACCAGCAACACUCCAGUGAAACUGCAGUCAAAAUUUAUGGAGUCUGCAGUAAAUAUGAAGCUAAAGUAACAGGCAAUGAAGAGCUCACCUGCUGCCUCCAGGGCUGCUUAACAUGCUGCAACCAGGCUGAAUGGUGCAUAUUGGACUGGAACCUGGAUCCUUGAGUAAAUGAAAGGAGAAAAGCCCCUAUCCAGUAUAUCAGAUUUGUGUAAACCAAAAAAUAAACUUUCAAUAUGCACUCUCCAGGAAAAGCUGCCUGCUAGAUAACAUGAAGACACGCCAGCAGCCUCAUGGGGGUGGAGGGAAGAGAGGCCUCAUGGUGAGGGACUGAGGCCUCCUACUAAAAGCCAGCACUAACUUGUCAGGCAUGAAAGUGAGCCACCUGGAAGCACAUCUUCAGCCCCUGUGGACCCUUUAGAUGACUGCAGGCCCUGCUGACAUCUUGACUGAAACCUCAUGAGACAGCUAGAACCAGAAUCGCCCAGAGAGAAGAACAUCAAAGGUGCGGGUUUAGGGCCCAGAAAGCCACUGGCCCCUUAAUAUCCAGAAAAGGACAAAAACUCACGGGAGUCAAGCACUGUUUGCCUGGAAGAAGAAAGAUAAAGACACAGACAAGCCCUGCUCCCCCACCAGCCAAAACUACUAUUCUACCUGUUUCCUGAUUCUGACCCACGUAUAUUCACUUGUUUCAUCAUUUUCUCAUUCAAAAAUAUAUUCAUUCAAUUAAUAAUGAUUUACUGAGUGUGUAUUAUGUAGCCAGUGCUUGCAUGGAACUCAGAUUACAGCUGGAAAUGAAACAGAUCUGGUCUUACACCCUCUGUACAUCUUCUUCCUCCUGUUACCACUCUAUCCUGUCUUCAACCUCAACUUCACUACUAAUUUCAUACUUAA